rnacentral:rRNA from 1 species
CGCCUGGGGAGUACGGCCGCAAGGUUAAAACUCAAAUGAAUUGACGGGGGCCCGCACAAGCGGUGGAGCAUGUGGUUUAAUUCGAUGCAACGCGAAGAACCUUACCUGGUCUUGACAUCCACAGAACUUUCCAGAGAUGGAUUGGUGCCUUCGGGAACUGUGAGACAGGUGCUGCAUGGCUGUCGUCAGCUCGUGUUGUGAAAUGUUGGGUUAAGUCCCGCAACGAGCGCAACCCUUAUCCUUUGUUGCCAGCGGUCCGGCCGGGAACUCAAAGGAGACUGCCAGUGAUAAACUGGAGGAAGGUGGGGAUGACGUCAAGUCAUCAUGGCCCUUACGACCAGGGCUACACACGUGCUACAAUGGCGCAUACAAAGAGAAGCGACCUCGCGAGAGCAAGCGGACCUCAUAAAGUGCGUCGUAGUCCGGAUUGGAGUCUGCAACUCGACUCCAUGAAGUCGGAAUCGCUAGUAAUCGUGGAUCAGAAUGCCACGGUGAAUACGUUCCCGGGCCUUGUACACACCGCCCGUCACACCAUGGGAGUGGGUUGCAAAAGAAGUAGGUAGCUUAACCUUCGGGAGGGCGCUUACCACUUUGUGAUUCAUGACUGGGGUGAAGUCGUAACAAGGUAACCGUAGGGGAACCUGCGGUUGGA